CUUGACCGAGCCGAGCCACAGCGGCCGCUCGGCGUCCCGGCCCUGGCCGUAGGUGUCCAGCAGGGCCUGCGCCUC
rnacentral:antisense_RNA from 1 species